AGCUCGUAUUAACAUAACUUUUGCAAACUAAAUGUAAUUGGUGCUUGCUUUAAAAAACUGUGGGAAUAUUUUGUGGAAUUUUGGAGUUGCAGGAUUUUCAUAACAGCUGAGUGGAAUGAAAGAGUAAUGAAAUACAUAAACAAAAACAGCUGUUGCGAGAAAAACACAAAUAAGAAGUGGCAGAUUAAUUGUAAAAUAAAUGCAAUAUUGUUCUUGUUUUAAAGAUGGAAUCGUUGUGUUACCAAUUAAAUAUUAGGUUAGUUUAUGGCGGUUGAUAAAUAUUAUUAAUAUAAGUACAAAGAAAAGUCUAAAUUGUAAUGAAUAAAAUAUGUUCUCAGACGUUUAUUACUAUUCAAUAGUAAAAUAUGAUAAAUUCCUUACGUCUAAGCAAGUAAGUAGGAAAGUGUCAACUUGAUGGCCUGCUCUCCUUCACCCCGCAAAUGACAGGGGUGGACUAUUGCCAAAGUACAGAACAGCAAAGUCCUCAAGUCGUUAGCCGGCAGCUCAGGUGGAAAAGCAUUGUUGGUAAUAUGCAAGGUAAUCGGGUGGGGUGGACGGUCAUCACCUAUUUAGCACCGUAGUUCGUAAACAUCGUGUUUGCAGUUGUCAGCUUGAUGCUGAGCCGCCUGCAAGGAGCAUUAAGAGGUUACCUAUUGUUGUUCUCAAACAGAAUACUAGAAGGCAACUAACUUUAGUCACGCACUGACCGUCAUGGCUCCACAGUAGAGUCAUUUACGCCUUCAUCGAAUUCCUCCCGCUCAGUAGCGUACACCGUUUUACUCAGAAACUUUAUAGUUACCCUUGCACAACUGCGUUUUGGACACUGUAACACUUAUCCAGAAUUGAUCCCACAUAUAGGGAUUAUUGCGCAAGGGUAACUCGAAAUUCUCUGGGCAACACUGUGGUGUAACUGAAAGUAUGUACAUUCUGAGUACAAUAGGUUCCCGUAUGACUACCCAGAUCUUUGCAAGCCCAAUCAGAAACAGAAUAUUUGCUGGGACUACCGUUAGAAGACUUCGAUGAGAACCAACUUGAACCUUACAGCCCAAGCGGUGAUUAGGUAGCCACAUCAACAGAAAAGUACCAUAUAAGUUUAUUUACCGCAGCAAGUACAUUUAUAAUCCAUUUCAGAGAUUCUUGGACCGUUGAAAGAUGUUUUACAAAAUCAAAAGAUUAGGAAAAGCUCUAUAUCAAUUCGUGAAAAGCAGUGCAUCAUCAAUUUAAUACAAUUAACUUAAAUGUAUGCCCUUUUUGGCAAUAGCAAUUUAACCUGCUGAAUCACUGAAGGAGGUGUUGUUAGUGAGGCCACAGAGACUUUGAAAUUCAUGUCGGGUGCGUGCAAACAAAAUAGCCGCCUCAUGGACCCAUCCUAACGCGGAUUAGGUACCCGUUACAACAACAACAAAUAACUAUCGGGCAUUCCAAAGGACAAAACUGGUCUAUGGAUUGUUCGACUAACGGAUUAACUUUACCAAUGGAGAAUACUGCCCAGUAAAAAAGUUUCUUUUUUAUGAUUUUUUAUAUUUUACGCUUUUUGUUAGACAUUUCUUGAGUGUACGUUCUGUAUUGUCUUCAAUUAUUACAAUAAUUAUCAUUCUAAAUAGGCGAUAAUUGCAUAAUCAGCCUUAUUUAGCAAACUAUAAUCUGUUGAAGUACUAUAUUCAGGAAUACAAAAGUGUUUAUAAUAUCUACAUACAUACAUAUAUACGUUUGUAGAUACCAUUCAAAAUCAAUCACUUGUUUCUAUUCGUGAAGUAAACACGCCCAUUAAUGAGUGUGCAAUUGGUGUAAUUACUUUCAAAUAUACUUAUUUAUGAUAAUUAUUUAUAAUUAUAUUUGUUUAAUUGCUGUAAUAAAGGCCUAACAGAAUGAUAAUUUAUUUUUGAGGUUUAGGCAGCCUAGAACCUUCAAAAAUGCUUAAUUUUAAUGGUUUAUUCUGGGAAAUAAGAAAAAUUCGGUCUUUUGUCUUUUAGGCUUGAUUAAACAUGUAUUUGAUAAAAAAAAAAAUGUUGACAUUUCUUAGGGGCUAUGAGGGCAAUCCUAGAAAUC